rnacentral:rRNA from 1 species
UACGUAGGGUGCGAGCGUUAAUCGGAAUUACUGGGCGUAAAGGGUGCGCAGGCGGCGUCGCAAGUCAGGCGUGAAAUCCCCGGGCUUAACCUGGGAUCUGCACUUGAAACUACGAUGCUGGAGUAUGGCAGAGGGAGGUGGAAUUCCACGUGUAGCGGUGAAAUGCGCAGAGAUGUGGAGGAACACCGAUGGCGAAGGCAGCUCCCUGGGCAAAAACUGACGCUCAUGCACGAAAGCGUGGGGAGCAAACAGG